rnacentral:rRNA from 1 species
GACGAACGCUGGCGGCGUGCUUAACACAUGCAAGUCGAACGGUGAAAGCGGAGCUUGCUCCGCUGGAUCAGUGGCGAACGGGUGAGUAACACGUGGGCAACCUGCCCCUCACUUCGGGAUAACUCCGGGAAACCGGGGCUAAUACCGGAUAUGACCUUCUUGGGCAUCCUUGGAGGUGGAAAGUUUUUCGGUGAGGGAUGGGCGCGCGGCCUAUUAGCUUGUUGGUGAGGUAGUGGCUCACCAAGGCGACGACGGGUAGCCGGCCUGAGAGGGCGACCGGCCACACUGGGACUGAGACACGGCCCAGACUCCUACGGGAGGCAGCAGUGGGGAAUAUUGCGCAAUGGGCGAAAGCCUGACGCAGCAACGCCGCGUGCGGGAUGACGGCCUUCGGGUUGUAAACCGCUUUCAGCAGGGAAGAAGCCGCAAGGUGACGGUACCUGCAGAAGAAGCACCGGCUAACUACGUGCCAGCAGCCGCAGUAA